GGAAAUACAACUUGUUUUUUGUUUGUUUGUUUGUUUUUUGAUAUUUGGAACUAAAGUAGGAAGUCUCCUUCCUGGUUUACUGGUCUAUAACCAGGUUUUUUCCCUAGUCAGAGGUCCUCAGCAGUGUGGGACUCGCGCGUCCCAGGGAUGGGGUGUUGGCGCCCUCUGGAGGCAGAAAGAAAAGAUGAAGGAAAACAGAAGAGAAGGUUAACCCGCGCUUUACAGGAAUUCUGUGGGAUUCAGAGGACAGUCCGGUGCUACCCCGGAAUGUGGCCAGCAAGAUCUGACUCAUCUUAUGGACCACAUAGCAAGAUUUCACACUGGCAGACCAUACAAAGUAUCCUUAGGAGAUAUUUCUGCUAUGUAUGGGUGAUUCUUGAGACAGCCAAGAACAGCAGGACAGCCACUUUCCAGAAUACUUCCAGAGUCAAACUGCUUCAUCUGCUUCUCAUAAAACCCACAAAACCACCCAUAAAAACCACUGAGUUUUCUUUUGCCUCAAGUGGUAUGAUAGCUUACACAGGCAUCCCCAAGGAUAAAAUAUAAUCGAGGGCAGUGAAAACUUUAACUCACUAAUAUGUGCAUGGAUAAGGAUGCUGACAAUGGACAAGGGACUGAAUUCUUUUUUAAAAGGAGCUAGUGUUGUUGUUUAAUCAUCUCUCUGCUUCUAAUGUGUGGAUAGCAAAGACCCAAGAUCUCGAUUCCGCCUCGUAGAAUUUUGCUUGUUAUUGUAGAAUUCCUGUAAUGUGAUCUCUUCAACACUAAAAAUCAGUGAUUACAUGUAUUCAAUUCUGUGGAAAUGUUCUCUGAGCAAAGCCUUGUUUUCUUUAGUGCUGAAUAGCGAGAAAAUAAAACUGGCUAAACAGAAUCAUUUAGAUACCAUCAAUCACAGAGAUGAACCAAGGACAUCAAAUUCUGUUCUAAUAUAUUUAAGUUGAGUUCCAAAUAGAUUGUUUAUGCUGCAGCCACAGACUCCAAAAUAUGAACUGAGUGUAAAAACAUUUUAACUUUCAUGUUUUAAUGAUAAGAAUGUUGUUGGCAUUAAUAUUUGAACAUUUCAGCCUACCUACUUCUGAAAGCUAUGUCAUGGCAGGCUUAGAAUCCACUGGCAGACUAUAAAUAAAGUCUUUCUAUAAAUAUA